CCUUGAAAGAGUGCGUAACAGCUCACUGGUCAAGUGAUUCUGCGCCGAUAAUGUAGCGGGGCUUAAGCACACCGCCGAAACCGCGGCAACACAUUUGGUGUUGGGUAGGGGAGCGUCGUGCAUGUGUUGAAGCUAUCUGGUGAUAGGUGGUGGAGUGUGUGCGAGUGAGAAUGCAGGCAUGAGUAACGAGUGAUGUGUGGGAAACAUAUCCGCCGGAUGACUAAGGGUUCCUGGGUGAAGUUUAUCUUCCCAGGGUGAGUCGGGGCCUAAGGCGAGGCCGACAGGCG
rnacentral:rRNA from 1 species